UCAAGUGAAGAAGCGCAUACGGUGGAUGCCUUGGCAGUCAGAGGCGAUGAAAGACGUGGUAGCCUGCGAAAAGCUUCGGGGAGUCGGCAAACAGACUUUGAUCCGGAGAUGUCUGAAUGGGGGAACCCAGCCAUCAUAAGAUGGUUAUCUUACGCUGAAUACAUAGGCGUAAGAGGCGAACCAGGGGAACUGAAACAUCUAAGUACCCUGAGGAAAAGAAAUCAACCGAGAUUCCCUUAGUAGUGGCGAGCGAACGGGGACUAGCCCUUAAGUGGCUUUGAGAUUAGCGGAACGUUCUGGAAAGUACGGCCAUAGUGGGUGAUAGCCCUGUACGCGAAAAUCUCUUAGUCAUGAAAUCGAGUAGGACGGAGCACGAGAAACUUUGUCUGAAUAUGGGGGGACCAUCCUCCAAGGCUAAAUACUACUGACUGACCGAUAGUGAACUAGUACCGUGAGGGAAAGGCGAAAAGAACCCCGGAGAGGGGAGUGAAAUAGAUCCUGAAACCGUAUGCGUACAAGCAGUGGGAGCAGACUUGUUCUGUGACUGCGUACCUUUUGUAUAAUGGGUCAGCGACUUAUUUUCAGUGGCGAGCUUAACCGAAUAGGGGAGGCGUAGCGAAAGCGAGUCUUAAUAGGGCGUCUAGUCGCUGGGAAUAGACCCGAAACCGGGCGAUCUAUCCAUGGGCAGGUUGAAGGUUGGGUAACACUAACUGGAGGACCGAACCGACUACCGUUGAAAAGUUAGCGGAUGACCUGUGGAUCGGAGUGAAAGGCUAAUCAAGCUCGGAGAUAGCUGGUUCUCCUCGAAAGCUAUUUAGGUAGCGCCUCAUGUAUCACUGUAGGGGGUAGAGCACUGUUUCGGCUAGGGGGUCAUCCCGACUUACCAAACCGAUGCAAACUCCGAAUACCUACAAGUGCCGAGCAUGGGAGACACACGGCGGGUGCUAACGUCCGUCGUGAAAAGGGAAACAACCCAGACCGUCAGCUAAGGUCCCAAAGUUAUGGUUAAGUGGGAAACGAUGUGGGAAGGCUUAGACAGCUAGGAGGUUGGCUUAGAAGCAGCCACCCUUUAAAGAAAGCGUAAUAGCUCACUAGUCGAGUCGGCCUGCGCGGAAGAUGUAACGGGGCUCAAACCAUACACCGAAGCUACGGGUAUCACGUAAGUGAUGCGGUAGAGGAGCGUUCUGUAAGCCUGUGAAGGUGAGUUGAGAAGCUUGCUGGAGGUAUCAGAAGUGCGAAUGCUGACAUGAGUAACGACAAUGGGUGUGAAAAACACCCACGCCGAAAGACCAAGGUUUCCUGCGCAACGUUAAUCGACGCAGGGUUAGUCGGUCCCUAAGGCGAGGCUGAAAAGCGUAGUCGAUGGAAAACAGGUUAAUAUUCCUGUACUUCUGGUUAUUGCGAUGGAGGGACGGAGAAGGCUAGGCCAGCUUGGCGUUGGUUGUCCAAGUUUAAGGUGGUAGGCUGGAAUCUUAGGUAAAUCCGGGAUUCUAAGGCCGAGAGCUGAUGACGAGCUAACUUUUAGUUAGCGAAGUGGUUGAUGCCAUGCUUCCAAGAAAAGCUUCUAAGCUUCAGGUAACCAGGAACCGUACCCCAAACCGACACAGGUGGUUGGGUAGAGAAUACCAAGGCGCUUGAGAGAACUCGGGUGAAGGAACUAGGCAAAAUGGCACCGUAACUUCGGGAGAAGGUGCGCCGGUGAGGGUGAAGGACUUGCUCCGUAAGCUCAUGCCGGUCGAAGAUACCAGGCCGCUGCGACUGUUUAUUAAAAACACAGCACUCUGCAAACACGAAAGUGGACGUAUAGGGUGUGACGCCUGCCCGGUGCCGGAAGGUUAAUUGAUGGGGUUAGCUAACGCGAAGCUCUUGAUCGAAGCCCCGGUAAACGGCGGCCGUAACUAUAACGGUCCUAAGGUAGCGAAAUUCCUUGUCGGGUAAGUUCCGACCUGCACGAAUGGCGUAACGAUGGCGGCGCUGUCUCCACCCGAGACUCAGUGAAAUUGAAAUCGCUGUGAAGAUGCAGUGUAUCCGCGGCUAGACGGAAAGACCCCGUGAACCUUUACUAUAGCUUUGCACUGGACUUUGAAUUUGCUUGUGUAGGAUAGGUGGGAGGCUUUGAAGCGUGGACGCCAGUCUGCGUGGAGCCAUCCUUGAAAUACCACCCUGGCAACUUUGAGGUUCUAACUCAGGUCCGUUAUCCGGAUCGAGGACAGUGUAUGGUGGGUAGUUUGACUGGGGCGGUCUCCUCCUAAAGAGUAACGGAGGAGUACGAAGGUGCGCUCAGACCGGUCGGAAAUCGGUCGUAGAGUAUAAAGGCAAAAGCGCGCUUGACUGCGAGACAGACACGUCGAGCAGGUACGAAAGUAGGUCUUAGUGAUCCGGUGGUUCUGUAUGGAAGGGCCAUCGCUCAACGGAUAAAAGGUACUCCGGGGAUAACAGGCUGAUACCGCCCAAGAGUUCAUAUCGACGGCGGUGUUUGGCACCUCGAUGUCGGCUCAUCACAUCCUGGGGCUGAAGCCGGUCCCAAGGGUAUGGCUGUUCGCCAUUUAAAGUGGUACGCGAGCUGGGUUUAGAACGUCGUGAGACAGUUCGGUCCCUAUCUGCCGUGGACGUUUGAGAUUUGAGAGGGGCUGCUCCUAGUACGAGAGGACCGGAGUGGACGAACCUCUGGUGUUCCGGUUGUCACGCCAGUGGCAUUGCCGGGUAGCUAUGUUCGGAAUAGAUAACCGCUGAAAGCAUCUAAGCGGGAAACUAGCCUCAAGAUGAGAUCUCACUGGAACCUUGAGUUCCCUGAAGGGCCGUCGAAGACUACGACGUUGAUAGGUUGGGUGUGUAAGCGCUGUGAGGCGUUGAGCUAACCAAUACUAAUUGCCCGUGAGGCUUGACCAU
rnacentral:rRNA from 1 species